rnacentral:lncRNA from 1 species
UUUUUUUUUUCUUUCACAGACAUCCCUUCUUGUCAUUCCAGUUUCAGGGCUCAUGGUCCUGUUCCUCCACUCAUGCCAAGGUUUCUGUCUUCUUCUUCUAUCUCUCAUCCUUACCUCCAUUUCAUGUUCUUGUUCUUGUGAGUCACACCAGAGAGGAGCAAAAACAGAGCCCGGUGUCAGCUUGAUGAACGAGGUCACACAGGCCCAGCAGACCUUGUUAUGCUGAGUCACCAUUAGGCCUCUCUCUCUCUCUCUCUCUCUCUCUCUCUCUCUCUCUCUCUCUCUCUCUCUCUCUCUUAGCCUCUUUUUCACAUGCACAUACAAAGUGAGCUCAGUCAAAUCUCACUCCCUGCACGCUUCUCGCUCCACGGUGCAACUGUGAUGUCAAGGGAUUCCUCAGAACUAUCUUAAAAACAGUCCCUUCUUAUCAGACCUCAGCUCAACUCUAAUCCCAACCUGGCAAAGACACCUCUUGUUUUCAUUCCCUAGGCCACAUUAACGUCUUGUAGGACAACUCUGAGUUGCCCUGAAUUGCCCUGAUGUAAACAUACCUUCUUAUCCCUUUCAAGUUUUAGUUGUGUGUCAUGCAUUGCAGCCUGAAGCUACCCUUAGACAGUUUGUGCAGACAACAGACAGUGUUAUCUAAAUUAUGAUCAAGUUCAACCUGUACAAAUCGCAUAAAAUGCUUAUUCUCACUCAAGAAUUGUGAAACAUAUAUUUUCAAGCUCGUUCUUUGCAGUGGGAGUUGAUCAUGAAAAAACUCCCUCAUUAAAUGGCCCAAUAAACCAAAAUCAACCAUCUCGGACUCUACUGACCCGUCAAUCCUCCUGAGCCUAUGUGACAUGUCAGUUUCCAGCCCCACAUGGCUCUAUCUGUGGUAUUGAAGAAGUGUCAGAUAGACCUAAGAUACAAGCUAUAUUUACCCAGACUCUGACCAGACCCCAGACGCCUAUCACAUGCUCUUUCUCGUGGCCUCCUCUCAUCCCAAUAAUCCAUUCAGAUAACACGGUCUGCUCUGGAGAGAGUCAGGUUUUGACAAGAAGCUGAGACAGACGGUAUGAAGCCAAAGGGGAAUGCAGUAAAACAUGCAGAAUGAUCAACCAGUGGAUAAAGUUUGUGUUCAACAGUCUAUAAUACUUGUGACUGGUUUAUGAAGGGGCUUUAAUUGUUGAAAUAACCUUUCUAUAGCUGUCUGAGUGCAUGCACCCUGCCCACUGUUGUGCAUGAAAAGAAUUUACUAACAUGAUAAAGUUACCAAGAGACUGGCAGACAAUGGUUGUCAGGGGCCGUUACCUGGGAUACAAUGCACUUUCAACAACUCCUAAAUUUUGUUUGGUGUCUCCACAGUCAUCAACUCAAGCUUUAACUUUGACCAUGAAUAACAUAUUACUCUCAAGCUACAUAGUAAAGAUAUAGUCUAUUUAAGAUCAAGUGAGAGCACAUAGCAACAGCAGAUGAUGUCAACAAUAAAUGAUUUCUGUUGGUAUGUCUGAGUCAUUAGACAUGAUCCCAGUCUAUGAUACUGUAACAGAAGACUUAAGGCUAAAGAAGAUGUUGCUUACAUGUUGUGUUAGCCAUUAAACAAAAGUGUAAGAGGAAGAAGAAUUGGAGAAAUAUAAGACAGGAUCCUAACAGUAACAUCUUUAUUCAACAAAUGCUCCAAAACUUGGCAAAGAUCAAGGUUUGCAAUCCUGGAACAAGCUGAGCAACCUCAUCUUUCAAAGCACUGAAGUCAACUGGAUGAGCCUGUAAGACUGGGGACAUAGCAGACUCCUAAAACAACAUACUUCCCUUCUCUCAUAAACAUGUCUGUUUGUCCCGGUGACUGGCUGUUUUUGACAGCAGAAAGAACUAGGGCCUGGGUCAGGGAUGUGGACUGUUGAUCAAAAAAGAAACACCGUCGGUCUUUAAGAUAAAUUACUUCCCAAAUCUUUAUCAUGGAGUCGGCUUGUUCUAGACAGCAGUCACUGUAGGCAGUGCUAAUGGAUAAAGAGAAGAGCCAAAAUGUGCUGCAACAGAAAAAGAAGUAAAGAUUUAUUUAAAAUUCAGGAGUCAGACAUCAGAUAUUUUGAGCCAACUUUUAUUUUUAUUUAUUUGUUUUUUAUUUCCUCACAUCCACUUUGCCAAUAAUUCAACAGCCUUUUGAAUGGUUCAUUUUACAAGUGGUCAUAGUAAACAAUCACCUUUUGUUUUUGUUUUUUUCUUUUUUGAUAUAAAUAUACUCAUGUGUAAAUUAAUCAAUCAGAAAACCAAAUUUUUAGAAAACUUAAGAGAGAAGAAAACAUUUUUAAAAAAUCAAUAGACAAAAACAACAACAACCAUAAAAAACACUGAACAACUAUGAGCCAACUUAACCCUUCUCCUGUGUUAGGGUCUGCACAGACCCGUUUUUGAUUUUAAAUGCUUAAAAGAACCAAUUAAAUUAGCUUUUUUGCAUCAAGACUUUUUGACUUUGUCAGGAAUCUCUAUUUCAACAAAAAAAAAAAAAUUUAAUUGACUAAAUUAUAAAAUGCUCUUAUUAGGAUUAUGGAACUUGUUCUUUUAGGGUCGCUGUUGACCCGGUUAGAUCAAUAUCUAAUAAUUAGAGCAAUAAUUGAAAUCAUAAGUGCACUGUCAGGCACCACACUGACAGUCAGAUCCUCUUCCAAUCAUGGGAGAUUUAGUAAAUAUUCAUUUUUCCAUGUUUUUCCCCUGCAAAAAAAACGUCGGGCAUGUCCAGACAUGUGAGAUCAAUUCAGUGUAGAUGUCUAUAUGGGGGGUAUACUGACAAAGAAAGGCCCAGAGGACCACGACAAAAACUAUUAUAAUCAAUAUUUUCAUGGAUAAUGAAACCUAGAAGUAACCUAGAGAUGAGAACCAAAUUGGAUGAUAGAGAAUUGUUUUUAGUGUAAUUUACAGCUGAUUUAAGACACGGGUCAAAACCGACCCUUAACAUGGUGGGUGCGUAGUACAAGCUAACACAGGAGGAAGGUUAAGAUACUGGUCAUACCUUGAAAGACGUCAAACUAAAGUUUGGGAACCUCUGAGUGAAAGAUAAGGAGGGAGCAUCUUACUUCCUCUGAGUUACAUUUCUGACAACAAUAAAGGUUCAUUUUUUGUUUUUGUGGAUAAGUCUCUUUAAAAUACUCUAGCUGAUGAUGACUUUGAAGGGGCAGGACUUUGGUAUAUUUUAGAAGCCGAAGAGUUAAAUACUGGAGUCAUGUUGAGGUGAUAGAGAAGGGAUAUUUCUGGCUUAGACUGUGAGUUUUCAGAGCUCUAGCAGAAACAAGUGCUUAUCUGACAGCAGGCCUGUAUCCUAUCGACCGCUCUGCAGGCCCUAAAUGUCAUUCUCACACCUCCAUGAGCCGGUCCCAUCCAGAGCUGAUACUGGGGUGGAGUUUAUCAAAGUUAAUGGGAGUGAAGAGGGUGUAAUUAGCUGGUUAGACAGAAAAGCAUAGAUACACCAGCAGUUGGAGCAGACUGCAUUCUGAGUCAAGUGACAUGAUGAAGUGUGUCUCUAUUAUUAGGCGUCUGUGGGCAUGCUGAUAUUGAACUGUUUGAGUCUGUGUGCCUGUUUCUGAAUUAAUGAGUGUGUUGUCAUUGCUUUCACUCUGAUCAUCCAAGUCUCUCGCUCUGUAAUGUGAUCUGAGUUUGUCUCACCCAAGUAGAGCCUGGGGAGCUCCAUCAGAGCUAUACUGGAAUCGUAGCUCUGACACCCCCAAAUGCUCCCUCUAUGCAGACCCUAACCCACCCCCCACGUAACCCCACAGCCAAAUGAGGCGCUACAGAUGUUUUCAACCUCACAUCCUCUCCUCUUCAUUUCACACCUCGCCAAAACAGUCUGGCAAAGCUGGCAAACACACUCAGAAAUCUCUUCGCCUGCACAAACGUGGAACCAGCUCUGCAGAGAGAGGGUGUUUGCUCUGUGUUAUCCUGCACAUGAGCAGCUAGUGUAGCAUGUUUAACACCUCGCACAGUGUGAGAGAGAGCUCUGCAGAGUGUAAGAAGGCAAGAGGGGAAACCGAAAGUGUUAAAUCUAGGGGUAAGACAGGGUCAGAGUUUAGAAUAUCAGUGCUACAUACCAGUAAAUACACGCUUUGACCUCUGACCAGCAUGUUCUAGACACUUCUUUGCUGUGUGUUUAAACACCAGUGGGUAUGUGUUUGUUUGUUUGUUUGUGUAUUAUAUGUGCGGCCCCAAGGGAGGUUUGUUGGUCCUGGGCCACAUCUCCCUUAUCUCUAGCCAACAUGCAUCUACAAACGAGUGCCUCCACCUCGACCUCAAACCCGGCCAGUUGCUGUUGGGGGGCAGAAAAGAGAAGGAAGGGAGAAAACCAAAGGAGGUUGGGGGGGUGAGGUCGACUACAACAGGAGCAGGGAAGAAAGAGAGAGAGCAACAGAGGGAGGCCCAGUGCCUGACAACUACUGACAGCUGAGCUUCCUCUCUCAGUGGGGCUUUCACGACCACAAACUGACACAGUCAAACAUAAACACACACACACAUACAUACAAAUACAACACACACACACGCACACACACAAACAUAGAUCGAUCCACUUCAGCUUUGUGUUCAUGCACAAAUUAUACCCAUUUUCUCUUUAAUGCAGAGUUUGACAUUGACUCUGUCAGACUGUGCUCUGUAAAGCUGUGUGUGUCUGUGUGCGUGCGUGCGUGCGCUGCGUGCGUGCGUGGAAAGGAGCUCUUAUGUAACAAGUGCUGAUGUUCAGAGUGUGAGUCUGUAUCUGUGUGGUAUGAUUCAGGUUUUCCGGGCUUGCCUCUGGACCACAGUCUCAGCUGAGACAACUAUCGUUAAACCAUUUUGUGUAUGUGUGCGUGCGUGUGUGCUUGUUCACUGUGUGUGUUCAUGUGUCCUCAAAGGUCUCAGUGUGUGGCCGAAAACACACACACACACCAGGGGGGGUAGUACGCAACAGGUGUGACAGAGGAUUUGUGAUACGCAGUUAGACUUUUUUCCUCCUUUUUGACUUCUGAACUUUUGCUGUCACUGCAGGCAUACAAAGACAGCUGUGAAAAUGCCCACAGAGAGCGUGACAAACAUUAUAUCUCUGUCUCUGUGUGAGUGUGUACUCCUCUGACCUGUUAAAAGGCGUUGUUAUUCAAUGGUAGUAAGCAGCUGUUUAUCACAAACCACAUCCAUGCGGAGAACAGUCGUGUCACAUUUCUGCCGGGCAUCAACGGUGCGUAGGAUGUAUGAGUAAAUCACAUCAGUCACUUCUUUGAAUGACGCAUUUGUUGGAUUGUGAAUAUGUCAUGAGGUGGAGGGUCUUGUAAGGAGGUCACCUUCUUGUUUUUGAUUGCAGCCUGAUUAUUUCACUGAGUCAGCCUUUUCUCUCAGAACAGAGGAGUGCUACAGCUCUGACAUUUCAAGUCUUUCUGCUGUAUGCUCUGCAGGGAAAUGAUGCAUCAUGAGAGAAUCGGAGGUCAAAAUUACACCUUUGAAAGGAAUUAUUAACUGUUCCUGGGUUUUGUUUUGCUCUUUAGAGCGAAGCCUGUUAUAACAAGGCUGCAAAAAGAAAACGAUUGGCCUAGCUGUGCAUGACCACUGAAAACGUUGGAAAACAUCUAUUCUGGCUCUUCAUAAAGUUAAAAGAAAAAAAGUCUCAACAUUAUUGAUGGUAUUUUGUCUCAUUUAAGCAAAAGAAUAAUGAUAAUUGGUUAUAACUUUAUCCUGAUAUCCUAAGGACUUAAUAUCAGAGUCUGGUUGCCUGGCAACCAAUAGAGACAAUACACCAUGCCAAGAAACAGUCUAGCAGAGAGGUUAAACUGGGUCAUAUCUGGCACUAUGUGAAAAAGAGAAAGACUUCCCACUAUUCUAACUUGUAUGUCCUUCAUAACAGAAAAAACAGACAUGAAAUACUCCCCCAUAUUUUUAACAUGAAUGAUUGGAAAUAAUAACUAUAACCAAAAAAGGGGAAAGUUUUAUUUAUGUCUUUUGCUGUUUGAGUUAUGGCAUCGUCUUGCUUUAAGUGGAAUAUUUUUUUAAUUGCAACCUUACCACCAAUGCUGCUAGCCUUGCAUCAAGCUUUGUUUAACAGAAAAAACCGGGGCACACUGGUUGGUAAGUGUAGUUUUUGUAAUCUCCUGCUCAGAGCUUUUACAUUUAAAAUGACUGCGUAUAAAAACAGUACCACAGGAUUAUUUCAUAAUAUUUACAAGUAAAAAUAUUUUAAAAAUUAGGCUUUUGAGGAGCCUCUAUUUACAGGGUGAAGGUUUAUAAUAACCUUUGUUGAAUACUCUUCCUCCUCAAUCUAUUUGUUUACCUACUUCUUCACUCACUUACUUGUUUUCUACUAAAUAUAAAACAACCAAAAAAAUUGCUCUAAGUGAAUCUAUAUACAUUUUUUUAUAACUGCAUUUUUGCACUCUUUGUCUGUGAUGCUGCUGUGACAAAAAAAAUUCCCCCAUGGGAGAUCAAUAAAGGAAUAUUCUAUUCUAUUCUAUUCUUCUAUAUCAGUGGAAUGUGAUCACUGGCUGUUUCCUUUUUAUGUAGAUUGUCAUAUAAGCAAUAAUAUCAGAACAACACAGAGCCAAAUAUAGAGAAGAGAUCUGUUUUUUUUAAAGAAAUACUUGUGAGACUGCAGUGGGGAAUUAACAGAACCCAAAGGGGAGUCUUUAGCCCGGUAGCUGCUUAAGACUCUGUUGUUUUUGAAUUUUACCCAUCAAGAUAUUUUUGGCCUUAAAUCCAACUAUAUCUACUUUCCUAAUCUCCUCUG